AUUUAGUAUGCAUACCCUUUAAACAAAACAAUGGGCAUAGAUUCAUAUCCUGUCUACAAAUAAUCGAAUGAUACAAGAACAAAUCUACCACCAGCUGCUUCGUCCCAGGCUCUGCUUUGACUGGGAGGGGAAAGCCAAGUUUCGAGCUGGGUCUAGCCUGACUCAGGCCUUAACUUGCGAGUCCUGCUAUUCUAACCCUUUCUCUUGAUCUGCUUUUCAGCCUAUCUGGAAGCACACAGCUCAGAGCAGCAGGGAAGUUGCUUAGCAAAGGGCCACCCACUUGCCUAUUAUUCCUUCUUCGCCUGUGACAUGACACAAGAACAAAGUAGACAUUAACCGCUACAUUAAACCCAGAAAGAAAGUAAUCAGUAACCUGUUAUUCCCUUAAUAAAGGGAAACACAUGCAGUGUGAAAUCCAGAAGACUAAUCAAUAGCCGCAGACAAUGCAAUGUGCCAAACAAAUUGCAAAUCAAUUAGAAUCCUUGUUUUCUUUGAAAUGGUUCACUAUAUCUAAAGCAAUUACUCCUUCAUUAGACCUAAUUUAACAGCAUGACUGCCCUGGCUACAACUGGCAGCGUCUGGCUAUCAAAUGGAAGAAUGGCAGCUUAUUUCUGUCUGUCUGUGAGUCUACC
rnacentral:lncRNA from 1 species